AUUGAACGCUGGCGGCAUGCUUCACACAUGCAAGCCGAACGGCAGCGUGGGCUUCGGCCUGGCGGCGAGUGGCGCACGGGGGAGUCAUGCACCGGACCGUGGCCAGUAGUGGUGAUUAGCCCGGCGAAUGCAGGACUUUUCCCGAUUACGCCCUGCGGUUGAAAGCGGGGGAGCGGAAGAUCUUGCGCUAUUGCAGCAGCCUAUGUCGGAUUAGCUAGUGGGAGGGGUCAAGGCUUAACAAGGCGCCGAUCACUAUCUGGUCUGACAGGACGACACGCCACACUGGUACGGGGACACGCCCCAGACUCCUACGGGAGGCAGCAGUGGGGAAUUUUCGACAUAGGAGGCAACCCUGAUCCAGCCAUGCCGCGUGCGAGAAGAGCGACUUCGGGUUGUAAACCGCUUUUUUUCGUGAAGAAAUCCUUUGGGCUAAUGCCCCGGGGGGAUGACGGUACCGGAAGAAUAAGCACCGGCUAACUACGUG
rnacentral:rRNA from 1 species